rnacentral:rRNA from 1 species
UAGGGAAUCUUCGGCAAUGGGGGGAACCCUGACCGAGCAACGCCGCGUGAGUGAAGAAGGUUUUCGGAUCGUAAAGCUCUGUUGUUAAGGAAGAACGAGUGUGAGAAUGGAAAGUUCAUGCUGUGACGGUACUUAACCAGAAAGGGACGGCUAACUACGUGCCAGCAGCCGCGGUAAUACGUAGGUCCCGAGCGUUGUCCGGAAUUAUUGGGCGUAAAGCGAGCGCAGGCGGUUAGAUAAGUCUGAAGUUAAAGGCAGUGGCUCAACCAUUGUAGGCUUUGGAAACUGUUUAACUUGAGUGCAGAAGGGGAGAGUGGAAUUCCAUGUGUAGCGGUGAAAUGCGUAGAUAUAUGGAGGAACACCGGUGGCGAAAGCGGCUCUCUGGUCUGUAACUGACGCUGAGGCUCGAAAGCGUGGGGAGCGAACAGG